rnacentral:rRNA from 1 species
AGCGAACGCUGGCGGCGUACUUAACACAUGCAAGUCGAACGAGGAUCGCCUGUGUAGCAAUACAUAGGCGGUUCUAGUGGCGUACGGGUGAGUAACACGUGGGCAACCUGCCCUUGAGUCCGGGAUACCCUCUCGAAAGGGAGGCUGAUACUGGAUACGUUCCUCGGGUCGCGAGAUCUGGGGAGGAAAGGUGGCGAAAGCUGCCGCUCUUGGAGGGGCUUGCGGCCAUCAGCUAGUUGGUGAGGUAAUGGCUCACCAAGGCUAUGACGGGUAGCUGGUCUGAGAGGACGACCAGCCACACGGGAACUGAGACACGGUCCCGACUCCUACGGGAGGCAGCAGUGGGGAAUUUUCCGCAAUGGGCGAAAGCCUGACGGAGUGACGCCGCGUGGGGGACGAAGGCC